UGCAGUCGAACGCAGUAGCAAUACUGAGUGGCGAACGGGUGAGUAUAAUGUGGGUAUCUGCCUUUUGGUUUGGAAUAACACGAGGAAACUUGUGCUAAUGCCGGAUAAGCCUUUACGGGGAAAGCUUUAUGCUCCGAUUGAUGAGUCCACACUUGAUUAGUUAGUUGGUGGGGUAAUAGCUUACCAAGACAAUGAUCAAUAGCUGAUUUGAGAGGAUGAUCAGCCACAUUGGGACUGAGACACGGCCCAAACUCCUACGGGAGGCAGCAGUGGGGAAUCUUGCACAAUGGGGGAAACCCUGAUGCAGCGAUGCCGCGUGAGUGAAGAAGGCCUUUGGGUUGUAAAGCUCUUUCGUCGGGGAAGAAAAUGACUGUACCCGAAUAAGAAGGUCCGGCUAACUUCGUGCCAGCAGCCGCGGUAAUACGAAGGGACCUAGCGUAGUUCGGAAUUACUGGGCUUAAAGAGCACGUAGGUGGUUAAAAAAGUUGGUGGUGAAAUCCCAGAGCUUAACUCUGGAACUGCCAUCAAAACUUUUUAGCUAGAGUAUGAUAGAGGAGAGUAGAAUUUCUAGUGUAGAGGUGAAAUUCGUAGAUAUUAGAAAGAAUACCGAUUGCGAAGGCAACUUUCUGGAUCAUUACUGACACUGAGGUGCGAAAGCAUGGGUAGC
rnacentral:rRNA from 1 species